GACAGAGGGUGCAAACGUUGCUCGGAAUUACUGGGCGUAAAGCGCGUGUAGGCGGCUACGCAAGUCGGGUGUGAAAGCCCAGGGCUCAACCCUGGAAGGGCACUCGAUACUACGUAGCUGGAGGCUUGUAGAGGAGAGCGGAAUUCCCGGUGUAGAGGUGAAAUUCGUAGAUAUCGGGAGGAACACCAGUGGCGAAGGCGGCUCUCUGGACAAGUGCUGACGCUGAGACGCGAAAGCGUGGGUAGCAAACAGG
rnacentral:rRNA from 1 species